rnacentral:rRNA from 1 species
GACGGAAGGUGCAAGCGUUGUUCGGAUUCAUUGGGCGUAAAGGGCGCGUAGGCGGCGGGGUAAGUCUGGUGUGAAAUCUCGGAGCUCAACUCCGAAAUUGCACUGGAUACUGCUCUGCUAGAGGGCUGGAGAGGAGAUCGGAAUUCACGGUGUAGCAGUGAAAUGCGUAGAUAUCGUGAGGAAGACCAGUGGCGAAGGCGGAUCUCUGGACAGCUCCUGACGCUGAGGCGCGAAGGCUAGGGGAGCAAACGGG